rnacentral:rRNA from 1 species
CCUACGGGUGGCUGCAGUGAGGAAUAUUGGUCAAUGGGCUUACGCCUGAACCAGCCAAGUCGCGUGAGGGAAGACUGCCCUAUUGGUUGUAAACCUCUUUUGUCAGGGAGCAAUGCCGGCUACGUGUAGCCGGACUGAGAGUACCUGAAGAAAAAGCAUCGGCUAACUCCGUGCCAGCAGCCACGGUAAUACGGAGGAUGCGAGCGUGAUCCGGAUUUAUUGGGUUUAAAGGGUGCGUAGGCGGCAUGCCAAGUCAGCGGUAAAAUGGCGGGGCUCAACCUCGCUCCGCCGUUGAUACUGGCGGUCUUGAGUGGGCGAGAAGUAUGCGGAAGGCGUGGUGUAGCGGUGAAAUGCAUAGAUAGCACGAAGAACUCUGAUUGCGAAGGCAGCAUACCGGCGCCCAACUGACGCUGAAGCACGAAAGCGUGGGUAUCGAACAGGAUUAGAUACCCGGGUAGUC